rnacentral:rRNA from 1 species
CAAUAGCGUAUAUUAAAGUUGUUGCGGUUAAAAAGCUCGUAGUUGGAUUUCUGCCGAGGACGACCGGUCCGCCCUCUGGGUGUGUAUCUGGUUUGGCCUGGGCAUCUUCUUGGAGAACGUAGCUGCACUUGACUGUGUGGUGCGGUGUCCAGGACUUUUACUUUGAGGAAAUUAGAGUGUUUCAAGCAGGCACACGCCUUGAAUACAUUAGCAUGGAAUAAUAAGAUAGGACCUCGGUUCUAUUUUGUUGGUUUCUAGAGCUGAGGUAAUGAUUAAUAGGGAUAGUUGGGGGCAUUCGUAUUAACGCGUCAGAGGUGGAAUUCUUGGAUUGCGUUACGACGAACUACUGCGAAAGCAUUUGCCAAGGAUGUUUUCAUUGA